UACGUAUGGUGCAAGCGUUAUCCGGAUUUACUGGGUGUAAAGGGAGCGCAGGCGGCACGGCAAGCCUGAUGUGAAAGCCCGCGGCCCAACCGCGGGACUGCAUUGGGAACUACCGGGCUGGAGUGCCGGAGAGGUAGGCGGAAUUCCUAGUGUAGCGGUGAAAUGCAUAGAUAUUAGGAGGAACACCAGUGGCGAAGGCGGCCUACUGGACGGUGACUGACGCUGAGGCUCGAAAGCGUGGGGAGCAAACAGG
rnacentral:rRNA from 1 species